AUUGACCCUUAUAUUUUGUUAAAUGACAAAACAAACCAUCUGUUUUGUAAAAUGGAGCAAUAUGUAUCCUGAGCCCAGUUUUGGUCAAACAAUUUUUUAAUAUGACUCAAAUGCCCUCGUUUUUAUUAUUUGUUUGCUUUUUUAAUUCCUUUAAUGGGUUUUCUUUUUUCUAAUAUAUAAAAACAAUUUAUAAAACAUUAUAAAAAUGAAUUUUCUUUUAUAAUCAGAUUUAAAAAAAAAAAAAAAAAAAAACCUGGAACUCCUUUCUCUUUCCCCACCCGACUCUUUCUUUCUCUUUCUCUCUCUUCUCGCAUGCCUCUGCCCAGCCCCGAUUGAGGCACCUCCGGCCUUUGUUUGAUCACACGCAUGCCACCAUGAGAAGCGUCGACCCUUGAAACCCCUACCCUCGUGAUUCAGCCACCUGAAGAGCCGCCCUCCGCCUCAACGGACUUGCUGAAGCCAUCCGCUGCCAAGCCACUUUCCGAUGAUCUCUGGGAUGGGGACGAGAGGUCUGGCAGGGGAAAUGGGACCCAGGUCUAGGUUGGGAUCGGCAGUCAGGCAAGGAUCGGGUUUGCGGAUGAGCUUGUGGCGGUGACACGAGGUUUGGCAGGGGAAACGAGACCCAGAUCUGGGUUGGGAUCGACAAAGUUAAGCAAGGAUCUGGCGGGAAGAAGAAGAACUGAAGAAGAAGAAUGGGAGGGAGAAAUGGUUUAAUUUUAGGGUUUUUGUUUGUUUUUAAAUUUAUUUAGUUUUAGUUUUAAUUAAGUUUGUUUCAAAUUUUUAGUUAAUUUAAUUAAGUUUAUAGAGAUUAACAUUGUUGACCCUGAUUUUGGUCAACUGACACGGAAUAAAAAAUGCUUGAUGUAGACA